UCUGCUUCUCCUUCCACAGAUCUGAUGAGGCUAAUCAGUGCCCUUUGCGGGCUCCGCCAGCUGAGGUAGGACUCAGUUGAUUUUGCACGAGCCCCACCUGUCCCGGCUUUCGCUGCGGGUCUCUCGAGGAGUGGACUCGGUCAGUCUGUCCUGAACCCUUCCUGCAGCGGAGCCGGGAGGAGUGCCUGGCGCGUCCAAAUCGGACAGCUCUGACUUAAGCAAAAACUUCCGAGUCAGAAGAAGUGAUGGCUGCGGGGUUCCUGGUAGCCUGGUCCCUGGCCCUUGGAUUCUCAAGACAUAUGUUGUUGCCCAACUGGAACUUGGAGCAGAGCCAUGGAUGUUGGACACAGGACUCCUCAAGACCUCUGCCCAGGGUGGAAGAACAGAACUAAAAGCCAAGAUUCACUGUCAACAGACCCCAUUUCUAAUGAGGAAUUACCCAGCGGCAUGAACACAAGACCCACAAGGGGAGAUUCUUGGCAUUCUACCAUAGGAAAUAACUGGGCAUCUGAGUCUAAGUCAGAGAAGCAGAGGACACAUGAGGGCUGUAUAGGGCCAGUGAAAUAUGAACAAGGGCAAGCAGUUACCCAGGACAGGGACUAUGAAUACCCUGAAGUGGGAAAAUGCAGCUUAGCUCAGACUUUAUUCCUUCACAGAGAUUUCCUAGAGAAGAACAUUUCAGGAACUUGACUCAGGGAUUCAAAGCUUGCAGCAUAACUUUGUUUUAAAAAACCAUCAGGAAAUCAAGGUAGGAAAGAAACCUUUUAAAGGCAACGUAUGUGGAAAGGCCUUGGAAAUACUGUAUAAUCAGGGUGAAUAUACCAACCAGAGUGUACACAUUUCUACACAUGAGUCAGUUAAUAUAAGAGAGAAAUUCUGUGAAUGUAAAGUAAGUGAGAAUUUUUUUCACCAUAGCUCACAGGUCUCUCAGGUCAUGAGACUCAUAUUGGAGAGAAAGCCUAUGAAUGUAAUGAAUGUGGCAAAGCCUUUAAGAAGGUUUCACCUCUUUCUCACCAUCUGAGAAAUCACAGUAGAAAGAAAGCCUAUGAAUGUAAUGAAUGUGGGAAAUCUUUCUGGUAGAGCCAUCACCUCAUUUUGCACCAGAGAACUCACACAGGAAGUCACUAUAAACCCUAAUUAGGAACAAUGUGUAAAAACAUGGAAAAUGCAUAUAAUGUGCAGUGAAAUGUACAGAAACUGUUGCAUCUGUGUUACCGUACAUGUGCAUUUGGACAAGGGCUUCAAGGAAGCACAGAAAUGAACACAGGUAAGCAUCUUAGAUAUAUUGUGACUUUCUUUUUUAAUAUUUCUUUUAAAAUUGCUUAAUUUUAUAAUAAAUAAAAAACAAAAAGAAGUUGAUCGAAUGUCUGAACUGUCAGGGGGAAGUGUGUUGGUGUGCCUUGAAGUAGCAAAGAAACAAUAACAAAUAGAAAUAAAUUUAGCAGUCAACGCAAGAAGUUAUAAGUUAUUCCUAAUAAAAUAGAAGGAAACCCAUUGCUGUUGAGUCGAUUCCAACUCAUAGCAACCCUAUAGGACAGAGUAGAACUGCCCCAUAGGGUUUCCAAGGCUUUAAUCUUUAUAGGAGUAGACUGCCACAUCUUUCUCCCAUGGAGUGGCUCUAGUGGAUUCAAACAGUAGACCCUUCAGUUAGCAGCCGAGCAUUUAACUACUGCACCACCAGGGCUCCUUAAAAGUAGGAGGAAGUAUGUAAUACAUUGAAAAGCAAGAAAUACUGUAAAAGGUGACAGAAAAACUGGAUAGAUUGCAAACCAGUGUGAUCAAGAAAAACAACACAAUUUGCAACAUUGGAAAUGAAAGGGAAAUAAUCGUAGAGCAUAUAAUAUUAAAAGGUUUGUACAUUUCUGUGUUAAAAAGACUGGAAAACCUGGGUGAGAAAGGCCCCUGUCAAUACAUAUUCAAGACCAGGAUUCAGCUGAUGUGAAUUCAAAACAAAACAAAAAAUUGCCUUUAAAGAGCUCCUCAGAUCCACUACUCAGUUUUCCCAACUUCCUGAAUAAAAUUUCCAUUCCAGGGAGAUGCUGAUCCUCAAUCCCUUCACAAGACUUUCAUAAAUAUCCACCUGGAUACAGUGGCACACGAUCACCACUCACAUUCAGUCUAUCCACAUGUCCUGGGAAUUCUAACUACAAACACAUCUUCCAUCAGCUCAAUUAUCCUUACCUCCACUGCCUUCUCCCUCCAGAACCAAGCUGACAUUUUUUCUCCAGGGCCACCGCAGUAGUCUCUUACUGGUCUCUCCAUGCCCACCCUUUGCCUCUAUAAUCCUCUAUACCCACAGGAGCCACAGUGAACUUUUAAAAACACAAAUAAGAUCAUGUUUCUCUCCUGAAUCUUAGGGCCCUUCGAAGACUCACCACUGUUCUAGAAUAACUUUUCACUGUGGCCCAUAAGACCUGUGCGUCUGUCCUCCCCCCGCCCCCCGCCUCUCCAAGCUCCGUUCACAACAUUGUUCAAGGUGCUCACUUCUGUCUGCUUACACUGGCCCUGUUCUAGUUUCUUGAACGCUUUGAAGUUGUUCCCACCUCAGGAUCUCUGCAAACAUUGGUAGAGGGGCAGCGAGAACUAUGGAAACUGUCAAUGAGAUGGAUUGACACAGCACACUAAGGGACUCAAACACACCAAUUGUCAUGGAUUGAAUCGUGUCCCCCAAAAAUAUGUGUAUCAAUUUGGCUAGGCCAUGAUUCCUAGUAUUGUGUGAUUGUUCACCAUUUUGUCAUCUGAUGUGAUUUUCCUAUGUGUUGUAAAUCCUAUAUGAUGUUGAUGGGUUGAGAAUAGUGGCAGUUAUGUUAGUGAGACAGGACUCAAUCUACAAGAUUCGAUUGUGUCUUAAGCCAAUCUCUUUUGAUAUAAAAGACAGAAGCAAGCAGAGAGACAGGGGAACCUCAUACCAGCAAGAAACAAGAGCUAGGAGAAUAGUGCGUCCCUUGGACGUGGGGUCCCUGCACUGAGAAGCUCCUCAGCCAGGGGAAGAUUGAUGACCAGGACCUUUCCCCAGAGCUGACAGAAACAGAAAGCAUUCUCUGGAGCCGGAACCUUGAAUUUGGACUUCGAGCCUCCUAGGCUAUGAGAGAAUAACUUUCUCUUUGUUAAAGCCAUCCACUUGUGGUAUUUCUA